rnacentral:rRNA from 1 species
GAUUUGCCCUUAGAGUUUGAUCCUGGCUCAGGACGAACGCUGGCGGCGUGCUUAACACAUGCAAGUCGAACGAGAAUCACCGGAAAAGAGGAUUCGUCCAAUGGAAGGUGAGGAAAGUGGCGGACGGGUGAGUAACGCGUGAGGAACCUGCCUUGGAGAGGGGGACAACAGCUGGAAACGGCUGCUAAUACCGCAUAACAUAUCUGAAUCGCAUGGUUUGGAUAUCAAAGAUUUAUCGCUCUGAGAUGGCCUCGCGUCUGAUUAGCUGGUUGGCGGGGUAACGGCCCACCAAGGCGACGAUCAGUAGCCGGACUGAGAGGUUGAACGGCCACAUUGGGACUGAGAUACGGCCCAGACUCCUACGGGAGGCAGCAGUGGGGAAUAUUGGGCAAUGGGCGCAAGCCUGACCCAGCAACGCCGCGUGAAGGAAGAAGGCUUUCGGGUUGUAAACUUCUUUUAAGGGGGAAGAGGAGAAGACGGUACCCCUAGAAUAAGCCACGGCUAACUACGUGCCAGCAGCCGCGGUAAUACGUAGGUGGCAAGCGUUGUCCGGAUUUACUGGGUGUAAAGGGCGUGUAGCCGGGUCUGCAAGUCAGAUGUGAAAUCCAUGGGCUUAACCCAUGAACUGCAUUUGAAACUGUGGAUCUUGAGUGCUGGAGGGGCAAUCGGAAUUCCUAGUGUAGCGGUGAAAUGCGUAGAUAUUAGGAGGAACACCAGUGGCGAAGGCGGAUUGCUGGACAGUAACUGACGGUGAGGCGCGAAAGUGUGGGGAGCAAACAGGAUUAGAUACCCUGGUAGUCCACACUGUAAACGAUGAAUACUAGGUGUGCGGGGACUGACCCCCUGCGUGCCGCAGUAAACACAAUAAGUAUCC